rnacentral:rRNA from 1 species
UACGUAGGGUGCGAGCGUUAAUCGGAGUUACUGGGCGUAAAGCGUGCGCAGGCGGUUUUUGUAAGACAGCUGUGAAAUCCCCGGGCUCAACCUGGGAACUGCGGUUGUGACUGCAAGACUGGAGUGUGGCAGAGGGGGGGUGGAAUUCCACGUGUAGCAGUGAAAUGCGUAGAGAUGUGGAGGAACACCGAUGGCGAAGGCAGCCCCCCUGGGUCAACACUGACGCUCAUGCACGAAAGCGUGGGGAGCAAACAGG